UACGUAGGGGGCUAGCGUUGUCCGGAAUCAUUGGGCGUAAAGCGCGUGUAGGCGGCCCAAUAAGUCCGCUGUGAAAGUCCAGGGCUCAACCCUGGGAUGCCGGUGGAUACUGUCGGGCUCGAGUCCGGAAGAGGCGAGUGGAAUUCCUGGUGUAGCGGUGAAAUGCGCAGAUAUCAGGAGGAACACCAAUGGCGAAGGCAGCAAACUGGUCCACUCCUGACGCUGAAGCACGAAAGCGUGGGUCGCGAAUGGG
rnacentral:rRNA from 1 species